GACGAACGCUGGCGGCGUGCUUAACACAUGCAAGUCGAACGGAAGGGCCCUGCUUUUGUGGGGUGCUCGAGUGGCGAACGGGUGAGUAACACGUGAGUAACCUGCCCUUGACUUUGGGAUAACUUCAGGAAACUGGGGCUAAUACCGGAUAGGAGCUCCUGCUGCAUGGUGGGGGUUGGAAAGUUUCGGCGGUUGGGGGUGGACUCGCGGCUUAUCAGCUUGUUGGUGGGGUAGUGGCUUACCAAGGCUUUGACGGGUAGCCGGCCUGAGAGGGUGACCGGCCACAUUGGGACUGAGAUACGGCCCAGACUCCUACGGGAGGCAGCAGUGGGGAAUAUUGCACAAUGGGCGGAAGCCUGAUGCAGCAACGCCGCGUGCGGGAUGACGGCCUUCGGGUUGUAAACCGCUUUCGCCUGUGACGAAGCGUGAGUGACGGUAAUGGGUAAAGAAGCACCGGCUAACUACGUG
rnacentral:rRNA from 1 species